CGAAGUGUGCAGAGCAGAUCUCUGGAUGUCACUUCACCCAGACCUGCUCAAACACUUGGGGUUCUUACCACUGCACUUGUCCGAGGGGAUUCAGCUCGUCAGGACCAGGGCAGCCCUGUUUAGAUGUGAAUGAGUGCCUGGCCUCCCCCCCUCCGUGCAAGUACCAGUGCCACAACCUCCGGGGAACGUACGAGUGUAUUUGCGGUCCUGGUGAACAGCGGCUGCCCGACGGGAAAUCCUGCGUUGGGCUUCAGUACCUGGAGGAGGAGGAGGCCGCCGGUCGGUCGCCCUCCCGCCGCGUCGAACGAGACUCCGCCCCGCGCCGGCUAUC